rnacentral:rRNA from 1 species
GCCCGCUCAGAAACUCAAAGGAAUUGACGGGGCCCGCACAAGCGGUGGAGUAUGUGGUUUAAUUCGAUGCAACGCGAAGAACCUUACCUGGUCUUGACAUCCCGGAGACCCUUAGGAAACUAGGGGGUGCUUCCAUCUGGAAGAAUCUGGAGACAGGUGCUGCAUGGCUGUCGUCAGCUCGUGUCGUGAGAUGUUGGGUUAAGUCCCGCAACGAGCGCAACCCUUGCCUUUAGUUGCCAGCAGUUCGGCUGGGCACUCUAAAGGGACUGCCGGUGUUAAACCGGAGGAAGGUGGGGAUGACGUCAAGUCCUCAUGGCCUUUAUGACCAGGGCUACACACGUACUACAAUGGCCGAUACAAAGGGCAGCGACACUGCGAGGUGAAGCCAAUCCCGUAAAAUCGGUCUCAGUCCGGAUUGGAGUCUGCAACUCGACUCCAUGAAGUUGGAAUCGCUAGUAAUCGUGGAUCAGCAUGCCACGGUGAAUACGUUCCCGGGCCUU